GUGGGGAAUCUUGCGCAAUGGGCGAAAGCCUGACGCAGCCAUGCCGCGUGAAUGAUGAAGGUCUUAGGAUUGUAAAAUUCUUUCACCGGGGACGAUAAUGACGGUACCCGGAGAAGAAGCUCCGGCUAACUUCGUGCCAGCAGCCGCGGUAAUACGAAGGGAGCUAGCGUUGCUCGGAAUUACUGGGCGUAAAGGGCGCGUAGGCGGACAGCUUAGUCAGAGGUGAAAGCCCAGGGCUCAACCUUGGAAUUGCCUUUGAUACUGGCUGUCUUGAGUGUGGGAGAGGUGAGUUGAACUCCGGGUGUAGAGGUGAAAUUCGUAGAUAUUCGGAAGAACACCAGUGGCGAAGGCGACUCACUGGCCCGUUACUGACGCUGAGGCGCGAAAGCGUGGGGAGCAAACAGGAUUAGAAACCCUUGUAGUCC
rnacentral:rRNA from 1 species